rnacentral:rRNA from 1 species
GAUGAACGCUGGCGGCGUGCCUAAUACAUGCAAGUCGAGCGAACAGACGAGGAGCUUGCUCCUCUGACGUUAGCGGCGGACGGGUGAGUAACACGUGGAUAACCUACCUAUAAGACUGGGAUAACUUCGGGAAACCGGAGCUAAUACCGGAUAAUAUAUUGAACCGCAUGGUUCAAUAGUGAAAGACGGUUUUGCUGUCACUUAUAGAUGGAUCCGCGCCGCAUUAGCUAGUUGGUAAGGUAACGGCUUACCAAGGCAACGAUGCGUAGCCGACCUGAGAGGGUGAUCGGCCCCACUGGAACUGAGACACGGUCCAGACUCCUACGGGAGGCAGCAGUAGGGAAUCUUCCGCAAUGGGCGAAAGCCUGACGGAGCAACGCCGCGUGAGUGAUGAAGGUCUUCGGAUCGUAAAACUCUGUUAUUAGGGAAGAACAAAUGUGUAAGUAACUAUGCACGUCUUGACGGUACCUAAUCAGAAAGCCACGGCUAACUACGUG